AUUGAACGCUGGCGGCAGGCUUAACACAUGCAAGUCGAACGAUGACUCUCUAGCUUGCUAGAGAAGAUUAGUGGCGGACGGGUGAGUAACAUUUAGGAAUCUGCCUAGUAGUGGGGGAUAGCUCGGGGAAACUCGAAUUAAUACCGCAUACGACCUACGGGUGAAAGGGGACGCAAGCUCUUGCUAUUAGAUGAGCCUAAAUCAGAUUAGCUAGUUGGUGGGGUAAAGGCCCACCAAGGCGACGAUCUGUAACUGGUCUGAGAGGAUGAUCAGUCACACCGGAACUGAGACACGGUCCGGACUCCUACGGGAGGCAGCAGUGGGGAAUAUUGGACAAUGGGGGCAACCCUGAUCCAGCCAUGCCGCGUGUGUGAAGAAGGCCUUUUGGUUGUAAAGCACUUUAAGCAGGGAGGAGAGGCUAAUGGUUAAUACCCAUUAGAUUAGACGUUACCUGCAGAAUAAGCACCGGCUAACUCUGUGCCAGCAGCCGCGGUAAUACAGAGGGUGCGAGCGUUAAUCGGAAUUACUGGGCGUAAAGCGAGUGUAGGUGGCUCAUUAAGUCACAUGUGAAAUCCCCGGGCUUAACCUGGGAACUGCAUGUGAUACUGGUGGUGCUAGAAUAUGUGAGAGGGAAGUAGAAUUCCAGGUGUAGCGGUGAAAUGCGUAGAGAUCUGGAGGAAUACCGAUGGCGAAGGCAGCUUCCUGGCAUAAUAUUGACACUGAGAUUCGAAAGCGUGGGUAGCAAGCAGGAUUAGAUACCCUGGUAGUCCACGCCGUAAACGAUGUCUACUAGCCGUUGGGGUCCUUGAGACUUUAGUGGCGCAGUUAACGCGAUAAGUAGACCGCCUGGGGAGUACGGCCGCAAGGUUAAAACUCAAAUGAAUUGACGGGGGCCCGCACAAGCGGUGGGGCAUGUGGUUUAAUUCGAUGCAACGCGAAGAACCUUACCUGGUCUUGACAUAGUGAGAAUCCUGCAGAGAUGCGGGAGUGCCUUCGGGAAUUCACAUACAGGUGCUGCAUGGCUGUCGUCAGCUCGUGUCGUGAGAUGUUGGGUUAAGUCCCGCAACGAGCGCAACCCUUUUCCUUAUUUGCCAGCGGGUUAAGCCGGGAACUUUAAGGAUACUGCCAGUGACAAACUGGAGGAAGGCGGGGACGACGUCAAGUCAUCAUGGCCCUUACGACCAGGGCUACACACGUGCUACAAUGGUAGGUACAGAGGGUUGCUACACAGCGAUGUGAUGCUAAUCUCAAAAAGCCUAUCGUAGUCCGGAUUGGAGUCUGCAACUCGACUCCAUGAAGUCGGAAUCGCUAGUAAUCGCAGAUCAGAAUGCUGCGGUGAAUACGUUCCCGGGCCU
rnacentral:rRNA from 1 species